rnacentral:rRNA from 2 species
ACAGGUCGAGCAGGGACGAAAGUCGGGCUUAGUGAUCCGGUGGUUCCGUAUGGAAGGGCCAUCGCUCAACGGAUAAAAGCUACCCUGGGGAUAACAGGCUGAUCUCCCCCAAGAGUCCACAUCGACGGGGAGGUUUGGCACCUCGAUGUCGGCUCAUCGCAUCCUGGGGCUGUAGUCGGUCCCAAGGGUUGGGCUGUUCGCCCAUUAAAGCGGUACGCGAGCUGGGUUCAGAACGUCGUGAGACAGUUCGGUCCCUAUCCGUCGCGGGCGUAGGAAAUUUGAGAGGACCUGUCCUUAGUACGAGAGGACCGGGAUGGACAUACCGCUGGUGUACCAGUUGUUCCGCCAGGAGCACCGCUGGGUAGCUAUGUAUGGACGAGAUAAACGCUGAAAGCAUCUAAGUGUGAAACUCGCCUCGAGAUGAGAUUUCCCAUUUCCUUCGGGANAGUAAGACCCCUCAGAGAUGAUGAGGUAGAUAGGAUGGAAGUGGAAGUGCCGUGAGGCAUGGAGCGGACCAUUACUAAUCGGUCGAGGACUUAACCAAG